CACAGUGCUGGUUCUUUAUCUGAAGCCAAGCGUGGAGGUGCACAUGUUACAGACCCAGUGAGUUCAGAAGUAGAGGCAAAAGGGUCAGGUCAAGGUCAUCCAUUGCCAUAUGGAGAGCUCAGGAUUAACCCGUGGUACAAGCGACCCUAUCUCAAAAAACAAAGACUCCAUAAAGAGCCAGGUAAGUGUGUCUGUAGCCCCAACACUCAGGGAGUUAGGGCUAGAAUAUGGCUUGAGUCCAGGAGUUCAAGACCAGCUAGGCAGCACAGUGAAGACCUUAUUUCAAAAAGAGAAAAGGAAAGAAGCCACUGGGCAGCACGUUCUCUCAAAUCUGAGCCUUCGUCUGCUUUCUCCCUCCACUGCCCUCUCAUGGACAAAGAAAAACAGAGGAAUGAUGACCCGUACUUCCAGGAUGACUUGCUAGAAACCCUCUGGGGGAAAGGUGCCACCAACAGCUCUCCUGUGGAGUAAAGAAUAUCUGGAAUUCAUCUGGGAUGAACCUCAGUGUGUGUUCCAACCCCUGCUUGUCUAUUUAACUGCCAAAGUAUGACCUUGGACAGGCUCCCUAAGCUUUAGUUGGUGUCUGUAAAACAUAUGAUCACCCACUCUCAUGGUUUCUGUAAGCACUGGAUAAAAAUGGAAGGUAGAGUGGUGCGGACUUUGGUUUUUGUAUGUAACAGCUGCACAGGAGAUGCAGUUUUCCAGUCUGAGUCACCAGUGCCUCUGCCCCGAGUCCUGGGGUUAAACACAUGUACCACCAUGCCCAGCAAAAAAACUUUUUUUAAAAAUACAUUACCUGCUGAAUACUUCC
rnacentral:lncRNA from 1 species